GACAGAGGGUGCAAACGUUGCUCGGAUUUACUGGGCGUAAAGCGCGUGUAGGCGGGCGACUAAGUCGGAUGUGAAAUCCCUGGGCUCAACCUAGGAACUGCAUUCGAAACUGGUCACCUAGAGUGAUGGAGAGGAAAGCGGAAUUCCCGGUGUAGAGGUGAAAUUCGUAGAUAUCGGGAGGAACACCAGUGGCGAAGGCGACUACCUGGCCUGUUCUUGACGCUGAGGCGCGAAAGCUAGGGGAGCAAACGGG
rnacentral:rRNA from 1 species